UUGCCUGCGAAAAAUUAGUCCCCAAUCCCGGUUGUCGAAUUUUAAAAAGUUAAAUAUUGCUGCGAGUGAAUGUGUGCGACUGAGAGGUUCCAAUCAACUAUCUCAUGCGAUAGAAGAGGACACAGCAUAGCAGCUGUUUGCAGUCCGUCCAGUGAAAGAAAGAGAGUGCGCAUGCUAUUUGUUCUUGGAAAUGAAAAGGAUAGCGAUUGACUCGUAUAUGCGUGCAUCAUUUUGGAGUAGAUUGUCGCUAUAAUCACAACUGAAAAAACGUGCUACUAUUUAUUGUUGGAAAAAAUGGCAAAAAAGUGUUUUUUGUGUGAUUCGGAUGAUAAUAUAAUUGAUUUUAACGAUGAAACUUUUGAAAACUGUGUAGUAAAAUUAGCUUUCCGUAAAAAAAAAAACUUUAAAUACAAUUUUGUUGAGCUAUCCAGUGCGUCACUUGAAUUUGUAGGUUAUCAUAGCACGUGUUAUAAAAAAGUGACCGUUUUGAAUAAAAAAUAUAACGAAGAAUUUCUUAAUUUUAGUGCUUAUACAGUGAGAGGAGAAAAAGAAGUAUUUCCAGACACUCCACCUAUUUCCGAAGUUUAUAUGCAAGAGCAAAACCUUCAA